CCUUCCCCUGCUAAAUAGCCAGGCUGGCUUUGGCCGGUCGCCGGCUUCUUAGAGGGACAGUCGGCUCAAGCCGAUGGAAGUUGGAGGCAAUAACAGGUCUGUGAUGCCCUUAGAUGUUCUGGGCCGCACGCGCGCUACACUGACGGAGCCAACGAGUUCACCACCUUGGCCGAGAGGCCUGGGUAAUCUUGUUAAACUCCGUCGUGCUGGGGAUAGAGCAUUGCAAUUAUCGCUCUUCAACGAGGAAUGCCUAGUAAGCGCAUGUCAUCAGCAUGCGUUGAUUACGUCCCUGCCCUUUGUACACACCGCCCGUCGCUACUACCGAUCGAAUGGCUCAGUGAGGCGUUCGGACUGGCUUAGGGAGGUCGGCAACGACCGCCCGGAGCUGGAAAGUUCGUCAAACUUGGUCAUUUAGAGGAAGUAAAAGUCG
rnacentral:rRNA from 1 species